ensembl:lncRNA
AACAAAUCCCCCUGAGUCCAUUGUAAAUGAAGCAGAAAGAAUUGUGGCCAGGGCUAGCCGGAAUAACAUUUCCUCUGCACACAAGAUCAUAUCAUCCUGCCCACCAAGCUUGGGAAGACAUUACUCAGCCUUCAGUUCAACUAUAACUUAUUUCAUUUCAAGUACCAAGAUAAUACUUCUUAAGUGGCAACAGGACACAGAUAUUUUUCCCCUGUUCCUCUUUGACAACUCCAUGGAUUGCCAUCAGGCCAUCAGGAUACAAUUUUGUGGCUCUACUCCCAGAAGUUUGAGGUGUUUUUUCCUUAAUGGAUAUGUGGGAGAUAAGUCUUGUCUGAAUUUCACAGAUAAUCAGAAAAAUAUCUAGGUUUAAACUCUGAAUCGGAUCCAUCAAGGACUAUCAUAAAAAAUAAGAGCACUACAAAUUUGUUUGCAAUCGUAUCAGGAGUUGACUUCUACUCUUAUUUUUCCCUGGAGGUGUACAGAAUUCUGAGUUUAGUCAUGCCAAACAAGACAUCAGAGAAUUCCUCCUUUUAUGACUUACAGAUUACGCAGUUACAAGCUGUGAUAUUCUUCUUUAUGUUGUUCACCUACUUUUUGAGUGUAAUUGGAAACAGGACCAUUGUCAUGUUAAAACACUAUCUAAUGUUUAUUUGAAGACUCCCAUGUAUUUCUUCCUCAGGAAUUUCUCUUUCUUAGAAAUUUAAUUCACAACAGUCUAUAUCCCUAGGUUUCUGAUCAGCAUUGCUACAAGAGAUGUAACCAUUUCCUGUAAUGCUUGCAUGACACAAGUAUUUUUUUAAUCCUUCUGGGUUCCACAGAAAUUUUUUCCUGGCUGUAAUGCCUUAUGAUCAGUAUGAGGUUCUCUGAAAAUCUCUCCCUUAUACAACCAUCAUGAGUAACAAAGUCUGAAUUCAGCUUGUAAUCAGCUCUUGGCUGGCUGGUUUCCUCAUUAUCUUUUCACCAGUGAUUAUGGGCUUCCAACUGGAUUUAUGUGAUUCCAACAUUAUCAACCAUUUCACUGGUGACUCUUUCAUGCUGCUGAUUGCCUGCACAGACACAGUUGCUAGAGCUUUUGGCAUUUUUCUUAGCUGUAUUCACACUCACUGUAACUCUGGUCUUGGUGGUUCUCUCUUCCACACUAAUUCUUAGAACAUUUCUGAAGAUCCGCUCUUCUGAGCAAAGAGUGGAAAGUGGCCUUUUCCACUUUUCUUCCCCAUAUGAUUGUAUUUUUCCAUUUCUUAUGGGAGUUACCUCUUCAUGUAUGCAAAAACAUUUGCAAAAAAUUUGUUGACUAGGGUGGUCAGCAUCAUGGUAAAGUGAGCUCUUUCCUUAGAUUCUCCCCACAAAGAUAAAAUGAAAAGGACAUUCAUAUACAAAUGGAUGACAUGCACACAACACAAAAUACAUCUGAGAGACCCACACAGCCGUAAGUCUGAAGGUGGAGGUGCUGAACCCAUGAGAGGAAGUGGAAGGAGGAUUGGCACCUGACCUGACAUCUGUUGGCAGUCUUCUCUUUUAUUUUGCCUCUUCUUCUCCCCAAAGCCCCCAAGUACAUAGUUGUACAUUCUAGGUGCAGGUCCUUCUAGUUGUGCUGUGUGGGACACCGCCUCACUAUGGGCUGAUGAACAGUGCCAUGUCCACGCCCAGGAUCCAAACCUGCGAAAGCCCGGGCCACAGAAGUGGAGCUCGCUAACUUAACCACUUGGCUAUGGGGCUGGCCCCUGGCCCUUCCUGUUUUAAACUGAUUCCCCACAGUGUUAAGAAUGAUACAUGGAUCAUAGAAAAAUGUACAUCAGAAAAUGUUGGUUUAUUUUUGCUAAGCUUUCCCCCUCCCCAAAUACCUGACCACUAUCCUGCUGGAUAAUUGCCUCAAACCUCUCCUGGGACACAGAUCCCACAACAAGCCAAUUAAAAUAUACUCCCCAAAGUUGAUCUUGUGCAUGAUUCAUCAGUGCCCUAUUAGUAGUUUCCCAAAGUCAUUAAAAAUUUUUCUCAAAGAGUAUUUCAGAAGCAAAAAAAAAUUUCUGUAGCAGAAUACUUAAAGGUGCUUGGUUUACUUUUUUCCUGAGGAAAAUAAAUAGAAAUGAUCCUCUAUCAGAAUAGUCUAUCAAAAAUAAUUGUAGAAUGUUUUUCUUCUGUAACUUUCAUCUGAAGAUUUGGUGUUAAGAUUGCAGGCGGAAUAUUUCAGGAUUUCAGAUUUUGGAAAACCUGAGGAAAUUGUUCCAUUAGCUAUUUUGUGGAGAAACGUCAAGAUUAUUGUUUUUUGAGGAAGAUUAGCCCUGAGCUAACAUCUGCUGCCAAUUUUCCUCUUUUUGCUGAGGAAGACUGGCCCUGAGGGACCAUCCAUGUCCAUCUUCCUCUGCUUUAUAUGUGGGAUGCCUAUCCAGCCUGGCUUGACAAGCGGUGCGUAGGUCUGCACCUGGGAUCUGAGACAGUGAACCCCAGAGCACUGAAGCAGAAUGUGUAAACUUAACUGCUGUGCCGCUGGGCCCGCCCCGAAACAUGAAGGUUUUUGUGAUGCAAUAUACAGCUUUGUGGGAAGAGAGGUAAAACAGAUAUUUCUCCAGGAAGCAUUAGCCUACUGCUUGUCGUCUGAUUUAAGAUAAUUGAGCACACUAAUUUGCAUUCAAUAUUUAACACUAAACCUCAAUCUUUUGACAAUAUGUAACUAUUCUCAGCUGAUUUUUAUCUGAUAUUUCAACUUCUAUUCACUGUACAGCAUUGAUUCUGCGCUCUGUAAGAUGUGUUAAAAAUCAACCACU